UACGAAGGGGGCUAGCGUUGUUCGGAAUCACUGGGCGUAAGGGGCGCGUAGGCGGCUUUAUAAGUCGGGGGUGAAAGCCUGUGGCUCAACCACAGAAUUGCCUUCGAUACUGUAGAGCUUGAGACCGGAAGAGGUAAGUGGAACUGCGAGUGUAGAGGUGAAAUUCGUAGAUAUUCGCAAGAACACCAGUGGCGAAGGCGGCUUACUGGUCCGGUUCUGACGCUGAGGCGCGAAAGCGUGGGGAGCAAACAGG
rnacentral:rRNA from 1 species